UUCUGAUGGCCAAAAUCCGAUCGGAUUACUUUUGAACAACUGGCCCCAGAAGAUUCUGUCACUGAUAUCACUGCAGUCCUGUUUCUGAACACAGCCUUUACUUACUAAGAGCUUGUAUCCUGUUUUCAGCAUUCUGCACUGUCUACUCACACACACACACACACACUCGGCCUGGUUCCUCAGUACAGAUGGGAUGUGGCUGACAGCGGUGAUGACAGAGCGGGAGAGAGUCUGGACUUCAAGGCCCUUGUAAGGCUGCUAGACAUACUGAGGGGAUUUCAGCCGAGGAGAAGAGGGCCGGUCCAGCGACAAGAGAUCCUAAUCACAGCAGCCGAGAAAACACUUGUCACGCCAUCUACACGCGUGUAAGCAACACCAGAGAAAAAGAAGAAUGAAGAUGUAAUCACGCGCUGAUGAACGUCUGAUUUCACUUGGAUUCUUCUGACUGCUGAAGCUGUUUUCUUAACAGAGACUCGACGUCUGAGAGACGCUGAAGGAUCUGAGCAUCUGUCUGCCACUGUCUGCUGACCUCAUGUUAUUUCUGUUCUGUUUCUUACGCAACGAAGGAGAUGACAGCCCAGUGAUGGAGGUCAAAGGUCAAACGAGGUGGAAACAGAAGUCUCGGUGCUGUACUUGCAACAUUGCCUCAUUGUUUCCAGCAAAACUUGGAUGAGAGACAAAUGUACAUAUAAGUACUAAAAUACACAAUACUGUAUUGUGAUUAUCAUGAUGGAAUUUAUGAAUUUGCAUGCACUUUAAAAAUUUUAAAAAAUCUUAGUAUGUUUGUCUUGUUUUCCAGAACAAAAAUCUAAACAUUAUGAUGCAAAAUUACUUAAG
ensembl:lncRNA